rnacentral:rRNA from 1 species
AUUGAACGCUGGCGGAAUGCUUUACACAUGCAAGUCGAACGGCAGCACGGACUUCGGUCUGGUGGCGAGUGGCGAACGGGUGAGUAAUGUAUCGGAACGUGCCCAGUCGUGGGGGAUAACGUAGUGAAAAUUACGCUAAUACCGCAUACGAUCUAUGAAUGAAAGCGGGGGGUCGCAAGACCUUGCGCGAUUGGAGCGGCCGAUAUCAGAUUAGGGAGUUGGUGGGGUAAAGGCCCACCAAGCCAACGAUCUGUAGCUGGUCUGAGAGGACGACCAGCCACACUGGAACUGAGACACGGUCCAGACUCCUACGGGAGGCAGCAGUGGGGAAUUUUGGACAAUGGGCGAAAGCCUGAUCCGGCCAUUCCGCGUGCGGGAUGAAGGCCCUCGGGUUGUAAACUGCUUUUGUACAGAACGAAAAGGUUUCUACUAAUACUAGGAGCUCAUGACGGUACUGUAAGAAUAAGCACCGGCUAACUACGUGCCAGCAGCCGCCGUAA